ensembl:lncRNA
GCAUGACAGACACAAGGAAAGAAGCACAGAACAUAGAACCCGACAAAGGAGAGCAGCAGAGAACUACAUGCAUGUUGGGAUGUGUUCUGGCAGUAAUGACUCAUUUCACCUAUGUGGUACAAACACCUGGAGCAAACUGAGUCACCUCACAUAACAACCUUCUCACCCCUUGCUAGAACUAUAAAGAAGGAACCCUCUGCAAGUUGAAUCUUCCAUCACGUCUGACAUAUUGAAAUAUGGAAAGUUGCUGGUGUAGUGCUCGUGGGCAAAGCCAGUGACAUACGGACGCAGGCAUGAACACACACAGACACACACACAACUUGGUCAGCACAGAUGAGUUGUGGGAAAACAAGCAGCUGCAGGAGGAAGAAUGGGCCAUAAGGCUCGACUGCUUGCCAAAUUUCAUCAUCUAUUAUGGAUCGCCUGAGAAGCUCGCUCCACUGCGAGCAGGGCCGUGCUUCUGAAACGCAUGCAACUGCGAAUCAAUGCUCAACACCAAGACGCUGGCAUCUGAUAUUUAGCUUGAGUAGGUUUAUCUAGGAUUAAACAGAAAUAAGAGUGGUUCAGUUAAACCACUUUUAGUUAAACUGCCAUAUGGUUUCAUAUACACAAUAACAUGCUGUAAAUUAGGCAUUUUAUUUUACGGUUAUUCUUUUUAUGCUGGGAGGCACACUUUGAAUUAGAGCUAUGUCCCAAUCUACUGGACUUGUUACUGUAGCUAACAAGAAGACUGUCUCACGUUUCUUAACAUACUGAACAUAUUUUGCUUUAUCACAUAUGUUUAUUCAGUAUUGGUACUUUUACUUGACAUUGUUGAGGACACUACUUUAAUGCCGCUAUAAAAUGCGCAAUGGGUUCAAUCACUGCAAAAAAUUCCACCUUAGCAAAUAAAAAUUUGUUGAAUAUAGUAAAAUAUAUCCAGUAUUCCCUGUUAUAAGAAUACAAUAAACCAAAUACAUGAUUAGUAAUCUAAUAUCUAGACAUUUUUACUGACUAAUUUCAAACUUGAAAUAGUCUUGUUCUAUUGGUAAAUCAUCAAUAAAACCAUUUUCUGUACCACCUAUCCUACACAGGGUGGCAGGGAGCCCACCCCAGGGAACUUGGGGCACAAGGCAGGGGACACCUCUGGAUGGGGUGCCAACCCAUCGCAGGGCAUAUUCACACACCCUCAUUUAGAUAUGCCAAUGCCUACAAUGCAUGUCUUUGGACUGGGGGAGGAAACUGGAGUACCCGGAGGAAACCCCAAAAGCACAGGGAUAACAUGCAAGCUCCAUGCACACAGGACAGAGUUUGUAGUGAUGAUAUUGCAUCCAAAGACAACCAAUGACAAAGUUCUGGCAGUGUGAGAAGUUUUUAUUUCAAAUCUCGGAACAUUUCUUCGAUGCUCAUCUAAAAGUCACCAAAAUGACAACCGGAUAGGAUUACAUGAAACUCACAGGAAAGCUACAAACAUGGUAUUGGCGAUGGCAAAACAUGAAUGAAACCUGCUAAUGGACAGAAAAAUAUCCUUAUUACCUCAAGCUUACUUUUAAAAAUGUUAUGUUUGCUUCCCUAUAUUCUGCACAGACCUGGAUCUGUUGAUUGAUGAUGUAAGCAGAACCUAGUCAUUUUGUUAAGUAAUAUCAUCUGACAUGGAGAACGUUAUUUCAGAGUGUUAUUUGGCCGAUAUUUUUAUUGGAAAAAUCUCAUACUGUCUAACAAGUAGUCAUCUGAAAAACUCUUUAUAUAGCACAGUGCAUUAGGCACAAACCUGAACAUCUUGAACAAGCAGGCAUUUUUUGUUUUGUUUUGUUUUGUUUUGGUGUGCCCUGAAGAAACUAGCAUCCUGUUGUGG